ensembl:snRNA U6 U6 spliceosomal RNA
UUGCUUACUUUGGCAGCCCAUAUAUACUAAAAUUGGAAUGAUAGAGAGAAGAUUAGCAAGGCCCCUGUGCAAUGAUGACAUGCAAAUUCAUGAAGUGUUUCCAUAUUUU